GAUGAACGCUAGCUACAGGCUUAACACAUGCAAGUCGAGGGGAAACGACAUCGAAAGCUUGCUUUUGAUGGGCGUCGACCGGCGCACGGGUGAGUAACGCGUAUCCAACCUGCCCAUCACUUGGGAAUAACCUUGCGAAAGUAAGACUAAUACCCAAUGACAUCCCCCGAAGACAUCUGAAUGGGAUUAAAGAUUUAUCGGUGAUGGAUGGGGAUGCGUCUGAUUAGCUUGUUGGCGGGGUAACGGCCCACCAAGGCAACGAUCAGUAGGGGUUCUGAGAGGAAGGUCCCCCACAUUGGAACUGAGACACGGUCCAAACUCCUACGGGAGGCAGCAGUGAGGAAUAUUGGUCAAUGGGCGAGAGCCUGAACCAGCCAAGUAGCGUGCAGGAUGACGGCCCUAUGGGUUGUAAACUGCUUUUAUAAGGGAAUAAAGUGGGUCUCGUGAGACUUUUUGCAUGUACCUGAUGAAUAAGGACCGGCUAAUUCCGUG
rnacentral:rRNA from 1 species